rnacentral:rRNA from 1 species
AUUGAACGCUGGCGGCAGGCCUAACACAUGCAAGUCGAACGAGUGGCGGACGGGUGAGUAAUGUUUGGGAAUCUGCCAGAUGGCGGGGGAUAACUACUGGAAACGGUAGCUAAUACCGCAUACCAUCAGAUGUGCCCAGAUGGGAUUAGCUAGUUGGUGGGGUAACGGCUCACCAAGGCGACGAUCCCUAGCUGGUCUGAGAGGAUGACCAGCAACACGGGAACUGAGAAACGGUCAAGACUCCUACGGGGGGCAGAAGUGGGGAAUAUUGCACAAUGGGCGCAAGCCUGAUGAAGCCAUGCCGCGUGUAUGAAGAAGGCCUUCGGGUUGAAAAGUACUUUCAGCGGGGAGGCGUUACCCGCAGAAGAAGCACCGGCUAACUCCGUGCCAGCAGCCGCGGUAAUAC